CCUAAUGUGUGAUUUUUUUAUUAUGGCCCAGUUUUUAUCUGAAUAUGUAUUUUUAUUUUAUUUCUGAAAACAAAACGAAAUUGCUUAUUGUCACUUACUAUAUUGUUGCAUUAAUUUCAUAAUUUGUAUCGAUGAUUUGAGUAACGUUUAUGAUGUUAUAUCAGUAACCGAUAUAGAAUAAUUUAUGAAAAUUUGUAAGUAUUUAUCGAAUAUCGAACCAACACUGCCAAAUGUUUAUUAUUUAUUACUUAUUAGAAUUUGAAAUUUAGAAAGCGGAACGCGGAAAGCUGAUAUAGUAAAAAAAUAUUCCUGUGUAACUUCGAUUCUUGUAUCUUAACUUUAAAUGUUAAUAAAUAAUAAAAUAUCUUUUGGUUUAAUAAUUGAUAACUAUACAAACUAAUUGUAUGCAAUAUUAUAUUGAGAAAUAAAACCAUGAGCUGUUUAAAAUUCCAUAGUAGUAGAGUAUUAUGAAUGAGUUAUAGGUACCUAGAUUUUAUUAUUUUUUAUUGAAAUGACUUCAAAUUUGUUUAAAAAUUAAUAAUUAUAAUUAUAAACAUUGAAUGGGAAAAUUAGUAAAAACACGGGGAUAAGACCGAUAUGUAAGAAAAAUAAUACAACAAAUAAUUAUAUUCACACUAACCAAAAAGCAUUAAUUGAAAAACAAUCAAAUUUUUUAGUUGAAAAUUGUGUUAUCUAAUUUAACUCUAACAUUUUAGUUCGUUCAGUGCACAGCCUUGACAAAUAACAAUACUAUGAACUGCACUAAUACAAUAUAAUAUUAUGUUGCAGGUCAGUACCUUUAAGUUAGUUUCUAUGAUAUCGGUUUUGUAUAUAUAAUUUAGUGUAGGUACAAAUUGAAGAUAAAACUUUUCGAUAUUCUGAAAUACGCGUGUUGUAAUAUUAAUUAUUAUUUUUUUUUUCUUUA